UACGGGGGGGGCAAGCGUUGUUCGGAAUUACUGGGCGUAAAGGGCUCGUAGGCGGCCAACUAAGUCAGACGUGAAAUCCCUCGGCUUAACCGGGGAACUGCCUCUGAUACUGGAUGGCUUGAGUUCGGGAGAGGGAUGCGGAAUUCCAGGUGUAGCGGUGAAAUGCGUAGAUAUCCGGAGGAACACCGGUGGCGAAGGCGGCUUCCUGGACCGACACUGACGCUGAGGCGCGAAAGCUAGGGGAGCAAACGGG
rnacentral:rRNA from 1 species